AAAAGAAAGAAACUGAAAAUAGAAGCCAGGAAGAGGACUUUUGAUCAACCCUGAGCCUCAGUGUGACUGAACAUCACAGAUAAAAGACCUUUUCCCAGGCACAGGGAGUAGAAGCCCUGCUAGCUGAGCCAGGGAAAACAGAACCUCCUUCAGCAGAGACCUCUCAUCUGGGGUUGGCCACCAAGGCAGGGGAUACCCAAGGGAUGCUGGAAGUCAUUUCCCAGGCAUGGACGGAACACCCUAAUUUAUUACUGAAGACUUUUAAUAUGACAGAAAUCUUUCUCAUUACCAUUAAGAGAUUCUGCUUAGUCAACAGAUAUUCAUGGCCUUACAUGGAUCAGUAUUUAACAACUGUGGUUACAUGCCAACUCAGUAAUACACAUAUAUGGCUUUUAGUACCACAGCACUCAGCUGCCCCCUUCAACAAGGAAUGCUGCAAGCUGCAGAGCCAUGCUGACUAUCCUUAUAGCUCAAAGAAUCAACACAAAGAAGAACUUUGGCAAAAAGGAAUGUGUUUUUGCUUUUUCCUCGGUCCACAAGACAUGGUAACCUGAUCUUUAGGGAGCUCAUUGGAAGGUAUGGAUCCAAACGCAACAUGACCAUGGUGAGGACUCAGCCACAACUCAGUGGGUUUUCAGCUUGAAACUGAAUUGAUCAGAGUCAGAAGACAGAAAGAGAUACUGAAAUAAUAUUUUGUCCAGACACCAAUUUUCAGAGACAUAGAGGAUAAGUCUGAGUCUUCUGGCAGAAGAAGUAUAAAUGCAGUCUUCAGAAGGUUGUUCAGGGUCCAAGGCUCUGCUGCAGGGUCUGGGUAGCCUUGGUGUGCUGCCUCCUAGGUUCUGGCAAUCUUCUCUGAGGUACUGAGGUGAGAACUGGACCUAUCAUUCAAAAGUCUAAAUUCUGUUAUUUGUGUGUCUUUGAAUUUAAGUAAAAGGGCUGAUUCAACAAAGAGAUUUAUAUCACUGACUACUCCUUAGUCAUCUGAAUCCAACAUUUAUAUUUUACUGAGACUAUCAAAACUCCCACUGAAUUGCUAUCUAUCAUUUUAACUCAUCUCUUUUCUUGGGUUUUGCAUCACCUAGCCUUAAACAUUUGCAGUGUAGAUGUUUGCAUCUGAAUUAGUCAUCCUCAGUUCUGCUUAAGCUCAGCAGAGAGAAGAGAGAGUUUCUGAGGAAUGAUUCAUCUGACCCACUUUGGAAGUCUACAGUACUUCCCAUGGACUACACAGCCAGCCCACGUUGACAGCCAUCAGAUGUAUCUGCCAGCCCAGUAGGUGACUGCAUUUAGACAGAUGAAUUGAAACCCUGAUGCUAAAGGAGCUGCACACUCUGUACAGCCCUAAACCACCUGUGCAUAGUAAAUGUGAGCUAUUUUAAACCUCAAAGGACAAUUGCACUGCACACUGAUACAAGCUAAGGGUGAGUCCGUGAACAGCUGUGGUGGCUGACAGGCAGGGAAUAAACAAGUUCUCUGUGUGGUGUGUAUGCAGGGUGGCCAAAAUCCCCCUGUGCUAGAGCUGCACUGAGCCCUCCUCACCUCUAUGCCUGACCGAGCUGCUGGCAUCAGACAUGACCUCCUUUGCCCAAAAUAUGCCAGCACACCAAUCUCCAUUUACAUAUUUACACAGUGAUCUUCUUGGGCAGCCUCAACAGAAAUGAAUACCUGAAGUUUCAGGAUGCCUAAAAUUUAAACAGUAAGAUUUUCAUGUCUCACUAGCCCUAGGUAUAUCAAGUUUCAGUAUGAAAUAUUCCUGUGGCUUUAAUCUCUAAGUGUGGGAACUUAGUGUUGAAUUAAUCCUAAUUAGACCUCAUAGCUCACAGUGUAUCUAUUAUUUCUUUCUCAUGGGAGAAAAAGAUGGUGGAUAUGCUUUUAACAAUACAUUCUGGAAUAUGCUGACUUCAGUGUGAACUGUGGCAAGGUAAAAAGGACUAGGUGUCCCAAAACCUGGUUAGAAGUUGGACUUACAACCCAAAGCUAUGCAAAGGAGAUUUUGCUGCAGCUAAAGAAAUAACUGGAGUGGUCCAAGUGAUCUGCCAAAUGAAAAAGAGCAGCACAAUGAAGCCUAUACCUAGAGUGGUUGGGUAGAUAGGAUGCAGGAUGCCUACUUACAUCUCCUCAUUAAAGAGUGAUAGGGAAGCAACAUUUCUUUGACCACCAGAAAACACUGGAAAUUUAAAUUGCUUUUAACUGAAACAAGCUCAAAGUCAUUUGUUGAACCAUCAUUUAGAAUUUUUUUUGUGCUUGAGCGAAUGGCUUCAAUUUACAACUAAGUUAUUAGCAAAUCAAUAAAUUAUAGAAGUGAAAAUUUGUCAUCUUAACUGGAGAAAAAGUGAACACUGACAUUCAUCCUGGUCUUAAAGUACCUGAAAAAUGUUUCUAUCCUAUAUCUAUCUACUACAUAUGGAGUGAAGGGGACGUCUCAAAUGAUUUUUAUCCUUGUUAUAGUUGACAAGCUCAAACAAGGUGAUGGCAGGCCACUAGUGCCACGUUCACUGCAGAAGGGAAAGAUUGUCAAUAGUGGUUUAUGAGAGAAAAGGUUGUUAUGCUUUAUGUUAUUUGUCCUAGCUCUUCACUGAGGGAGGAAUUAAUGGGUUUUUUAACAUAAAUGUUAUUAAUUGUAUGUAUCCACAGCUCUCUCUAGUGACAAAAAGCUCAUGAAAACUGUAGCUCAGAACAUUUAGUGACUGUUUUUCUUUAAGUAAUGCAAAUUACUUGAUCUUAUUGUUUUAUUCCACUUACUUCACAAAUCUUGGUAGCCAUGGCCAAAACAUGCUCUAUGGACUCUUCACACACGCAGUACUCCCAGUGAUGUCAGCAGAGAUAGUGACAAAACAAUCACAAUAAGAUUUGGUCUCUAACCAGUGAAUAUUUCCAUGUUUAUAGCUCUUUACCACAGUUAAAUAUUUCUUCUGCCACGAGCUCUUCUUGUAUGUGGUUCCACAUCUCACAACAGGGUCUAUGGCCCAUCCUACGAGGCCCUGGUGCUUGGAAGUGGCACUGAUCUUUGGAAGAACAAAAAAAGGUUUCUAUAAAGUGCACUCUCACCUGACCUGGAAACUACAGUGGCAUUAGUUAUGCUUUUGUAAUUGACAGCAUUUGUAUUAGUCACAGAUUUAGCUUUGUUUCUUCAUAUCCUGGCAGAAAUUUAUUAAAUGCUGCCUCUGAAGCAUUUAACCAAAACUUAAAAUACUUGGCAGCACUGCUGACUUUUAAAAGACUUCUCUGUAUGAUUCAGUGGCAAUAUAUAUUCCUAUCACAGCAAUUAAUGUCAGCACCUCCAAGUGCCCCUCCAGAAGAGUUGGCCAAACUACCAGGCACUGACUGAAUCAGGAAGGUGGAUCACUGCAUCCCAAGUCAUGGAUAUUGCACAGCUUUUGCAUGGAUGUGUCAGUGCUACCCCUAUUCACAUUCAUUUGCUUCAGGCUGCUUUUACUUUUUGCCCCAAGACAAAACCACAUGCAAACUGCUGAAGCUCCCAUGGCUUUUGACCUUGCCAAGCUUUGUUAGAGCAUCUUAUCUUCACACAAUACCCACAAGCAUGCUUAGGACACUAGAAUCAGUGUACCAGAAACUCAGUGCAGUUUUGAGUCACAGCACCAUAGGCUAAGAAGAUGUGACAUAUAUUUCCAUAUCAAAACAAGAAAAACCUUUCUUUCCCCUCUUCACUGAUGCAUAACAUCCCAAAAGGCAAGAAUGGCCUUCAGCUAACACAGAUCAAUUUUCUUUCAGCUUCAAUCACCAUUUAAUUACUGUUGACUUCUUUAACCUUUUUCUCUUCCUUUAUGGAUUAGAUUCCUUUAUACUCUGUUGCCAUUUGCUUUCUCUGUGACAUAAUCAAACUUAAAAUGGUAUGAUAAAAUUUCACAUUUUUCUUCUUCCUUCCUACCAUUUAUGUUCAAUUUACUUCAAAAACCAAAUCAUUUCUUGAGGAGAAAAGUAUUUUUAAUGAAUUGACUUUUAACUUUAUCUCUCUCCAGUAUCUAGAUGUCAUUUGCUUUAAGCAAGUAAUUGUUCAGAUGACUGGAUGGCAUGUUGGAUAAAAGCACUAGCUUUUCAGCUCUUAACAUUUCAGGAGAAAAACACCCACAUAGCAGUAUAUUUUGAAUGCAAUGGCUUUUGUUGACUCAGCCUCAUCUUCAGCAAAUAUUUCACAUUUCACUAACUCAGAGUCCACACAAAAAUAGUUCACUUAGCACUUUUUAUCAGAAGGAAGCCAUUUCUCAGUAGAGCAGAAGAGGAAUGAUUUUUCUACUGGUGGCUGUAAAACAAGCAGAGAUCCUCCCAGCCAAAUGAGGGUAUUCAUUCCUUGGCACCUAUUUGUUCUGCUGGAUCAGAGGCCUGUAUGUCUGUGUCACUGUGCAUGAACUGGUGUAAUUCAGGGUAGGUUACGGCCCCAUGCAUCUCUUAAAUUGAUGGCUUUGAAACACCUUAAUUCCACAUGCAAUGAGCACAGUCUGUUUUCUAGAAUGCAAAUAUUUUAGGACUCAGAGUACCCCCAUCUUGGUGUUGGUGUAAACACCUAAUAUCCCCUUUACAGUGCAAUAGUAGCACAAAGGAGUUAGGCACUGAGCUGUGGAGCAGAAUGACUUAUUUGUUGAAUUACAGGGGUCAAGGAAAAGAGUGGGUCUGCAAUUAUUACCAUACACAGUGAGACUGCCAGUGAAUCUGUUACUAUAGAUUUUAUUUUGAGAUCUUGUUUUUGAAAACAUUUCUCCUUGAACUCCUAAUUAACUUGGAGCAAUUGAGUUACAAGACCUACAGACCAGAAUAUCUCAGAGAAGUGAGGAUGCUCUGAGGUAUGAGGUCACUAUUGGCUGUAACUUUGAUCCUUAUGCAUCAUUUAGACACCACAACUAACAAAUAUACAAAAAUAGCUUUAUUUCAUGGGAUCUUAGCACUGAUGUCCAUUCAAGCUAUUUUUUUUGGUUUUGCUACAUCUCAGCAUGCUGUAAGUAGUUAUGUCUUUUUCUUAUACAUCCAACCAUUAAGAAUGAGUUUAAUUCUUGAGGGCAAAAGAGGACAUAGAAAAGUACCAGUUCUUACUAACAUGACACUACAUACUACUUGUCCCUUUUUUUUUUUAAAAUAAUAGUCCAAUAAUUAUAUUUUUAAGUUAAUUAUAUAUUUUUUCACAAGAAGCUGUAAUUAAUUCACAGGGAAAAAUAGAGUUUAAUUUUUUGAUUCAGUUACAGUGAAGUAAAUUGAUAAAAUACUUUGAAAAAUAAUUGUACUAAAGGGAGAGCCUGGAGAAUAAAAAUAAAACACAUAAAAUACAGAUGAAAAUAUGUGAAGUAUAAUCCUUUUGGGCCACAUAGUCUCUUCUUGCACCCAGCAUAGGCUUGUUUUGUGUUGCAGUGUGCUCCUCCACUCUGUAUACUGCUCUACUGUGUGCUGAGAUAUGCACAUAUGUAUUCAGAGGAGAUGAUGUAGCUUUCAGAUUAUUUAGAUUAAGGAUGAGCUUACUCUGCAGCACUGUGACCUACCUCAUUUAAUAACUGCAAUAACCUGUAAUUGUGGUCUGGGUGGUUUUAAUGAUCUGGAAAACACUAUGCAUGACCCAUUACAUGUUAUAUUAAGCUGAUCAUUUUUAAAUACACACGCCUACGGACAUUAGACAUUAAGACAAAAUGCACAAAACUGAGUUUAAAAACAUCAAUAAACAGACCUGCCUGCAGUACUUCCAGACAUGAUAGAAUGGCCUUUGAAAAAGCCAUCAAUUUUAACUAAAACUGUUGGAAUUUGUUGGAUUGGCUUUUAAAAUUUAGACCUUUCUGCAGUGAGUCAUUUAUUUAUAUAACUUGGUCACAUUAUCCACAGCUAUAAGAAAUUGAGUAAAUCAGAUCUGCCAUUCCAUUUCACUUCUUCCUGCCAUACAUAUUUCAGCAGAACUUGAAGGAACAUCUUUUGUUUACAUAUUUAGAAAUAAUUGUAAAGAGCAGUUUCUUUGAGUGACAUUAGAAAGUCACUCAAACUAUCAGUCCUAAAGGACUUUAUCCUCAAAGGUUUUGGUUUUAAUGUAUGUAUUUAAUGUAGAAUGUAAUGCAAUACACUACUCUUACGUGUCUGCCCAGAAUCAAUGAUCAAUGACCCUUAAUUAACAGAUUAUCUUGACAUUCCAACUCAAAUGUUUUUACUAAGUUUGAAAAUAAUUUUAUUCUUAAAAAUAUAUAUGAAGCUUUUUAAAAUGAAGAUUUGAAAGGCAAUUACAAAAUCAAAGCUCAAAAUUUAGCAAAAAAGUCAGGAAUGAGCUAAAGCAAAUGACUGGAUCUGCCUGUGUUUAUAUAGCUCAUAAAAUGAGCAAAAGUUCAGAAAAACAUGACUAAUGCGAAAGAUUAGUAAAAAGUUUAGUGGUGCCAAUUAAGUCUUUGCAUGAUGUGUUUAAUUGUCUGCUAUAGACCAGGCAGUUAUUACAGUGCAAUCAGACAGCAAAUGUAGUUUAUAUCACAGCUAUUAAUAUUUACCACGUAAAUGACCAGAAAGGAUUUUAUCUGAAGCAUGUAAUACUUAUUUCUGAUUUUUAACAUUCACUUUAUGCAAGCAGGAUUUGAGAAUCCUAUGUGAAUUUGAAAUCUAACCUUUUAUAGUGAGGGAAAAUAUAUAUGCAUACUCUGAUAGCUGAAGAUUUUUGGGGGAAAUAUCAAUGGGACAAAUUCUGAGGCUUCUCAGUGUGUAUUUUAUCAUUGUCUUUAUAGAAGUAUUGCUAUCCACAAAGACCCCUGUAGGAAGCCGAGUUCCCAUUGGAAGGAGGAUGCCACUGAAAAUUCCUUGGGAAGAGUGAAUUUAAUACUCAUUUGUGACACUCAUGAGCCAGGGGCCAGGCUUGUUUGUCAUUGCCAUAAAUACACAAGCCAAACAAUUCCCCCUCCUUAUGCUUUGCACCAGGGAAGGAGAGAAGAAGCAGAGAACUUCCUCCAUGCCAGACACCUGGAGAACAGGGUCUGGUGCCACCUGCCAUGGCACAAACAGCGUCCCUGCUCCCAGGCAGUGCCCAGCACCGCUGUGCUUUACACAGGGCCAGACCCAGCACUGCUGAGGGGGAAAUCUGGAGCUGCCCUAUGGUUCUAUACCAGGUUAAAUUCACAAAUUCACAGUGGAAAUUUGCAGUGCCAAACAGUUUGUGCACUCUGCUUUGCUGAACUUUCAAAAGAGCAGUUGAAAGCCAUAAUGUUGAAGCCUGACUUUUGCCACUGCCUUUUCUGGUCAUGUAUCUUCCUGUAUAUUACCUUUAUUUUGUAUAUUACCUUUAUUUUGUAUAUUACCUUUAUUUUGUAUAUUAGCCCAUUAAAACAUGUUAGUGUGCUCAAUUCAGUCCCGAUAGCUGAAGGAAAACUCAAAUUCAGGAUAUGAAAAAACAGAAGAUGAAAAAGAGGAUGCUAGCUUAUGACUUCAUCCAAUCAACCUCAGAAGUUGUCACCUAUUGUUAAUUUUUACUUAGAACAUGAAGUUCAGUUCUCUGUUUUUAAUCGCCUCAAUUUAAAACUCAAUUGUUUUGUAAUUGGACAGUUUCAUUUUUCUAAUCACUAAUGAAAUUACUUAAAUUGAAUGUGAAAUUGUAUUAUUUAUGUUAGUUUGAAAGUAAUUCACAACUGAAGGAAUUAAAAAAUGCCAAUUUUUUGACAAAAAAAUCAAAAUCAAAGUUAAAAAAAAUGUGGAAAAUUUAAUUUUAGUAUUUGACUAUCAAGA